rnacentral:sRNA from 1 species
UGUUGCCUGGCUUGAGGUCACGGUGCACCAAGGGCUCCGGCUUCGUCUGGUGAAGAAAGAGUAGGCCUGUGGCAAUCUCAGCUGCAAUGCGGAACCUAAGUUGCCAAGACAAAGCUGGAGUGUUCCCUUUUCUUGAGAGACAGUCGUCUAAGCUUCCAUUCGCCAUGUAUUCAUAGGCUAGAAUGCCGUAUUCCGGGCAGGCUCCUAGAAGCAGCACCAUGUUGGGAUGUCGAAUGCAGCUAAGUAUGUCGAUCUGCAUCAAAUCAUGAAAGAAGAGGUUAGGUUGCGAGGCUUGAACGAUGGUCUGGCUGCUGGAUGUAAAGGAUCAAAAUAAUAAUUUUAGUACUCAACCAAACUUGGUUUUCAAGAAAGCUUAAUAACCAAGAGAAACAAACCUUUCAAGUACAUAUUUUGUUUAGGUGUUUCAGCUGCUUUAGCACUUUGCUGAUUUAAUGCCUC